rnacentral:antisense_RNA from 1 species
CCAUUUUGUCUCGGCAGCGGUGGCCGUAGCUCCAUCGCAUUUUAUGUUUCUGGCGAGAAGGGAACGGAGUUUUCAUCAGGUAGAUUGGUUUUUGUGCGGCCGUCCUCCACCGUUUCCUCCAGGACAGCACCUAGUCGUGGCCGGAGGAGUCUCAGAGCUGUCAGAAAGAAUAAGACUGAUUUUAUGGGAAAAUUAAGCAAAUGCUCCAGUUUGAGAAACCUGGAUCUGCGAUCUGUUUGUGGUCUCUAUGAAUAAAGAAAAGCAAAUAGAAUCUUAUCAGAUAAGUGCUUUUAUAAGUCUAAAUAUAUUCUUUGGAAUCUCUAAAGCAAAACUUUUAAACUUUUUUUUUUUUUUUUUUUAGGUACCAGCAUCAAGAUGAUUUAUGGUAAUAAGAUAUAAAACCAAGGAAAAUAACCUAAAGUCUGAAAAAGACCAGAAUCGAAGUUUCCUGAUUCAUAUUUUAAUGUUUUGAAAUUUAUACUCCAGGCUGGGUGCAGUGGCUUGUGCCUGUAAUCCCAGCACUUUGGGAGGCCGAGGCGGCCGGAUUGCCUGAAGUCAGAAGUUCAAGACCAGCCUGACCAACACGGUGAAACCCUGUCUCUACUUAAAAAUACGAAAGAGCUGGGCAUGGAGGUGGUGCGCGCCUGUAACCCUAGCUACUCGGGAGGCUGAGGCCUAAGAAUCUCUUGAACCCAGGAGGCAGAGGUUGUAGUGAGCCGGGAUCACGCCACUGCACUCUAGCCUGGGCGACAGAGAGAGAGACUGUCUUAAAAAAAAAAAAAAAAAAAAAGGAAAAGAAAAAAAUUUAUACGCCAAAAAAGAUAUUCUGAGAUAACCUGUAGUUACCACUAACUUUGUGACAAAAUUAUAAAAAUCCACAGCCAUCUAUGAAUCUGUAGGCAGACCUGAAGUUU